rnacentral:tRNA from 1 species
GAUCUUAUAUUCAAUAAAUGAUUUUGAAUUGCAAAUUCAAAGUAGUGCUUGCACUGAGAUCU